rnacentral:misc_RNA from 1 species
GAUGAAGAACGUAGCGAAAUGCGAUAAGUAGUGUGAAUUGCAGAAUUCAGUGAAUCAUCGAAUCUUUGAACGCACAUUGCGCCCUUUGGUAUUCCAAAGGGCAUGCCUGUUCGAGCGUCAUUUGUACCCUCAAGCUUUGCUUGGUGUUGGGCGUCUUGUCUCUAGCUUUGCUGGAGACUCGCCUUAAAGUAAUUAGCAGCCGGCCUACUGGUUUCGGAGCGCAGCACAAGUCGCACUCUCUAUCAGCAAAGGUCUAGCAUCCAUUAAGCCUUUUUUUCAACUUUUGACCUCGGAUCAGGUAGGGAUACCCGCUGAACUUAAGCAUAUCAAUAAGCGGAGGA